GUCAAGCAAUUAAGAGCAUACGGCGGAUGCCUAGGGCCAGGUGGCGAUGAAGGACGUGGCUUGCUGCGAUAAGCCUCGGAGAGGAGUAAGCAUCCUAUGACCCGGGGAUUUCCGAAUGGGAAAACCCGACCGGUGAUGAGCCGGUCAGUUCAGCACUUGUGUUGGACGGCUACACGCAGGGAACUGAAACAUCUAAGUACCUGCAGGAGAAGAAAACAAUUUAGUGAUUCCGUAAGUAGCGGCGAGCGAAAGCGGAUCAGCCCAAACCCUUGUCUACGUUACAGACGGUAGUCGCUGUAGCAAGGGUGUUGUAGGACCUAUUGUCCCAAACUACCGUGCGGGAGAAGAGUUACAAAACUCAUACUUAGUAGAAUGGAAUUUGGAAAAGCCAACCAUAGAGGGUGAAAGUCCCGUACACGAAAAGUAUUGAGUCUCUUUUGAUAGGCACCUGAGUACCACGGAACACGUGAAAUUUUGUGGGAAUCUGCGAGGACCAUCUCGUAAGGCUAAAUACUACCUGGACACCGAUAGUGAACUAGUACCGCGAGGGAAAGGUGAAAAGUACCCCGGGAGGGGAGUGAAAUAGAACCUGAAACCGUAUGCUUACAAGGUAUGGGAGCACUCUUAAAAGUGUGACCGUGUGCCUUUUGUAGAAUGAGCCGGCGAGUUAAUCUAUGUUGCAAGGUUAAAGUAGUCAAUACUGAAGCCGAAGCGAAAGCGAGUCUCAAAACGGGCGCUUAAGUAGCAUGGAUUAGACCCGAAGCCAGGUGAUCUAGCCAUGGUCAGGUUGAAGGCUGAGUAAAAUCAGUUGGAGGACCGAACCCACGUAUGUUGAAAAAUGCGGGGAUGAACUGUGGCUAGGGGUGAAAGGCCAAUCAAACCUGGAUAUAGCUGGUUCUCUCCGAAAUGCGUUUACGCGCAGCGUUAGUCGUUUCUUUGCGGGGGUAAAGCUACUGAUUGGGCUAGGGGUCCUACCAGAUUACCAAACCCAACCAAACUCAGAAUACCGCAAAGUUAGAGACUGGCAGUGAGACUGCGGGGGAUAAGCUCCGUAGUCGAGAGGGAAAGAGCCCAGACCGCCGUCUAAGGUCCCAAAGUUAACACUAAGUGGCAAAGGAUGUUGAAGUGCCGAGACAACUAGGAGGUUCGCUUAGAAGCAGCUAUCCUUAAAAGAGUGCGUAAUAGCUCACUAGUCGAGUGCUUCUGCGCCGAAAAUGAACGGGACUAAGUGUUACACCGAAGACGCGGAAAGUAUACUUGUAUACUUUGGUAGGAGAGCGUUCUUAACUCGUUGAAGGUAUACCGAAAGGAGUGCUAGAGGGUUAAGAAGUGAGGAUGCCGGCAUGAGUAGCGAUAAAAGGGGUGAGAUACCCCUUCACCGUAAGCCUAAGGGUUCCCUGGGAAGGUUAAUCCGCCAGGGGUUAGUCGGUCCCUAAUGUGAUGAAGAAGUUCGUAGCAGAUGGGAAACAGGUUCAUAUUCCUGUACCGACAUGUGGAGGUUUUACUGAUGGAGUGACGUAGGAAGAUAAGUCUUGCAAGGCGAUGGUUGUCCUUGUUUAAACGUGCGAGCUGGGGAGAUAGGAAAAUCCGCUCCCUAUCGGCAGAGGCGUGGGCCAGCAUUUGUUUCGGCAAAUGAUGGAGACUGAUUCUAUACUACCGAGAAAAACUUCUAAAGGACAAAGCAUGUCGACCGUACCCAAACCGACACAGGUAGGCGAGGAGAGUAUCCUAAGGUGCUCGAGAUAACUCUUGUUAAGGAACUCGGCAAAAUGGCUCCGUAACUUCGGGAGAAGGAGCGCCCCCUAUGGUGACUGGCUUACGCCAAUGGUAGCCUAGGGGGGCCGCAGUGAAAAGGGGGUAGCGACUGUUUACCAAAAACACAGGUCUCUGCUAAGUCGU
rnacentral:rRNA from 1 species